rnacentral:rRNA from 1 species
AGCGGCAGCGGAAGUAGCUUGCUACUUUGCCGGCGAGCGGCGGACGGGUGAGUAAUGUCUGGGAAACUGCCUGAUGGAGGGGGAUAACUACUGGAAACGGUAGCUAAUACCGCAUAACGUCGCAAGACCAAAGAGGGGGACCUUCGGGCCUCUUGCCAUCAGAUGUGCCCAGAUGGGAUUAGCUAGUAGGUGGGGUAAUGGCUCACCUAGGCGACGAUCCCUAGCUGGUCUGAGAGGAUGACCAGCCACACUGGAACUGAGACACGGUCCAGACUCCUACGGGAGGCAGCAGUGGGGAAUAUUGCACAAUGGGCGCAAGCCUGAUGCAGCCAUGCCGCGUGUAUGAAGAAGGCCUUCGGGUUGUAAAGUACUUUCAGCGGGGAGGAAGGCGUUGAGGUUAAUAACCUCAGCGAUUGACGUUACCCGCAGAAGAAGCACCGGCUAACUCCGUGCCAGCAGCCGCGGUAAUACGGAGGGUGCAAGCGUUAAUCGGAAUUACUGGGCGUAAAGCGCACGCAGGCGGUCUGUCAAGUCGGAUGUGAAAUCCCCGGGCUCAACCUGGGAACUGCAUUCGAAACUGGCAGGCUAGAGUCUUGUAGAGGGGGGUAGAAUUCCAGGUGUAGCGGUGAAAUGCGUAGAGAUCUGGAGGAAUACCGGUGGCGAAGGCGGCCCCCUGGACAAAGACUGA